GGUAAAAUGGCUGAGUAAGCAUUAGACUGUAGAUCUAAAGACAGAGGAAAGGCCCUCUUUUUGCCA
rnacentral:tRNA from 1 species